GGCUCUUCGGAGCUAGUGGCGGACGGGUGAGUAACGCGUGAGAAUCUGCCUUCAGGUCUGGGACAACAGAAGGAAACUUCUGCUAAUCCCGGAUGAGCCCUUGGGUAAAAGAUAAAUUGCCUGGAGAUGAGCUCGCGUCUGAUUAGCUAGUUGGUGUGAUAAAAGCAUACCAAGGCGACGAUCAGUAGCUGGUCUGAGAGGAUGAGCAGCCACACUGGGACUGAGACACGGCCCAGACUCCUACGGGAGGCAGCAGUGGGGAAUUUUCCGCAAUGGGCGAAAGCCUGACGGAGCAAGACCGCGUGGGGGAGGAAAGCUCUAGGGUUGUACACCCCUUUUCUUUGGGAAGAAGUACUGACGGUACCAAAGGAAUCUGCCUCGGCUAACUCCGUGCCAGCAGCCGCGGUAAUACGGAGGAGGCAAGCGUUAUCCGGAAUGAUUGGGCGUAA
rnacentral:rRNA from 1 species